rnacentral:lncRNA from 1 species
GUUGGAGUUUGGAUGGGUGCUGGUCGUUUGAGAACACGUGACCUAAUCUGAUCAUACGAUUGUGUCUAGGAUUUGGAAGAAGGGGUUUUCUGGCUACAUCGUGCGCUCGAGGCUCGAAGGUUUUGCGCUCAUAGCCUAUAUGUUUUUCCCUCCACUCUCUCGCUAGCUCGCUUGUGCCACUGCUCCGCCUACCCUUUUCGCAACAUUGACGCAACCUAUAAAUACUGGAACAAAAGAACAACUUCCUUGACUCCUGCUGAAACUGCACUUAAUCGGGACACGGAUCCCUGUUGUCAAGUGAAAGGAAAUAUUGAGACGGGGGUUUAUCUGGCAGCGAUUUGAGCUGUGUCAUCCCACUCGAUCACUGGUCUCCGAGGCGCAUAUGCUGUGUUGGAGUGAGAACGGCCCUACUGUAACAGACCCGCCUGACCGUGAAUGGGGAGAUAGAUUGGUGCUCGGAGUUCACUCGCAAGUCUCCAUUAGUGGAGUCGCGUGAAAUGAACAAACUGUGUUUGACUGUGUGUAGGCUUGGUUUGUGAGUGUGUCUCUUCUCUGACAUUGGUGUUGUGCAGAGGGAACCCCAGUCAGUCAGUUAGCUCUGCGGUCACUCUGCCUGCCUUGUUCUCUACUGGGCAUGUGUUGUGUGUUGGACAAGUGGGAACGGGCUGCUGAAGUUUUUGCAGGAUUAACACCCACAACUGCAUGACUGGUGUUUCUAUGGCUUAGAAGGGUUCCUAUUUAUAGAUGUCAGGCCUGGUGUAAAUUACUAUAAACAAUAAACUGAACCUCUACCUCCCUGCCUGCACACACCCCUGUCCAAAACAGUUACCUCUGGCUAGUUACUCACCACAUUAAACUCUACUAUUUUAGGGUGAAAUUAACUCUCUAAAAGACAUGAAUACACCCAAACCAAGUGUGGAAUGGUCACCUUUAAGUCCCUAACCAUUCUAGAUGAAUGCUGAGAAUUUUGGUUUAAUGUGACUGGAUUUUGGUAGUUUGGUUCUGUUAAUAGUGAUUUAUAUUUUGUUCAAUUUAUUGUAAUGAUUUUAUUAAAAUUGCAGUGUCACGUGUGUGGGAGAGGGAUAGUAAGAAAUGUGUUUGUAGGUUGUGUCAUUGAAGUAUAAUUCAAAUGUAGGCCUAUAUUAUAUUUUAGAAAGUGAUUGCCACCUUUAAAAAAUCAAACAUUCUUAGAUAAUGGACAAGAACAUCCCUCCAUACACAAGUACCCAGUUCUUCCAACUUCAGUCUAGUUACACCAUGUAGUUACACCAUGUCAUGGUGUAACUAGACUAAAGUUGGAAGUACAUCUGGGUUAUUGUGUAUGGAGGGAUGUCCUUGAAAAUAAAGCCAUAGCUAAGGAAAUUGCCCUAUUAUGUUAAGUUUGACUUAUUUUCUUUUUAAAAAAAAUAUAGAUUUAUCUAGUGUGCCAUUUUAGUUGUAUGUGAAGUUGCAUGGGACUGCUUUCAAACCUAAAAUCCUUUCCCAGAAUGUAAUAUCAGGCUUCUAUAACUUGUUCAGUAAUUUGAAAUGUAUUUGCAUUUUUGGUACUAGUUGUUGUCUAAACUGAAUUAUGAUAUGACUGCUUUUUAUAUUUGACAGCAUUGUGCAUACAAUCCUCAUAACCUACUUAAAAUAAUCAAAGAAAAAUGAUAACUUUUCCCUCAACUAAAGUCUGGAUGUAUCAACCCUAUCAAAUUAAUUAUUUAAAUGACUGAACCAUUCUACCAUUGAAUAACAAUAAAGCAACAUUUGAACAUUUACAUAAAACAA